AUUGAACGCUGGCGGCAUGCUUUACACAUGCAAGUCGAACGGCAGCACGGGUGCUUGCACCUGGUGGCGAGUGGCGAACGGGUGAGUAAUGCAUCGGAACGUGCCCAUGAGUGGGGGAUAGCCCGGCGAAAGCCGGAUUAAUACCGCAUACGCCCUUAGGGGGAAAGCGGGGGAUCUUCGGACCUCGCGCUAUUGGAGCGGCCGAUGUCGGAUUAGCUAGUAGGUGAGGUAAAGGCUCACCUAGGCGACGAUCCGUAGCUGGUCUGAGAGGAUGAUCAGCCACACUGGGACUGAGACACGGCCCAGACUCCUACGGGAGGCAGCAGUGGGGAAUUUUGGACAAUGGGCGCAAGCCUGAUCCAGCCAUGCCGCGUGAGUGAAGAAGG
rnacentral:rRNA from 1 species